GAUGAACGCUGGCGGCGUGCCUAAUACAUGCAAGUCGAGCGAACGGACGAGAAGCUUGCUUCUCUGAUGUUAGCGGCGGACGGGUGAGUAACACGUGGAUAACCUACCUAUAAGACUGGGAUAACUUCGGGAAACCGGAGCUAAUACCGGAUAAUAUUUUGAACCGCAUGGUUCAAAAGUGAAAGACGGUCUUGCUGUCACUUAUAGAUGGAUCCGCGCUGCAUUAGCUAGUUGGUAAGGUAACGGCUUACCAAGGCAACGAUGCAUAGCCGACCUGAGAGGGUGAUCGGCCACACUGGAACUGAGACACGGUCCAGACUCCUACGGGAGGCAGCAGUAGGGAAUCUUCCGCAAUGGGCGAAAGCCUGACGGAGCAACGCCGCGUGAGUGAUGAAGGUCUUCGGAUCGUAAAACUCUGUUAUUAGGGAAGAACAUAUGUGUAAGUAACUGUGCACAUCUUGACGGUACCUAAUCAGAAAGCCACGGCUAACUACGUGCCAGCAGCCGCGGUAAUACGUAGGUGGCAAGCGUUAUCCGGAAUUAUUGGGCGUAAAGCGCGCGUAGGCGGUUUUUUGAGUCUGAUGUGAAAGCCCACGGCUCAACCGUGGAGGGUCAUUGGAAACUGGAAAACUUGAGUGCAGAAGAGGAAAGUGGAAUUCCAUGUGUAGCGGUGAAAUGCGCAGAGAUAUGGAGGAACACCAGUGGCGAAGGCGACUUUCUGGUCUGUAACUGACGCUGAUGUGCGAAAGCGUGGGGAUCAAACAGGAUUAGAUACCCUGGUAGUCCACGCCGUAAACGAUGAGUGCUAAGUGUUAGGGGGUUUCCGCCCCUUAGUGCUGCAGCUAACGCAUUAAGCACUCCGCCUGGGGAGUACGACCGCAAGGUUGAAACUCAAAGGAAUUGACGGGGACCCGCACAAGCGGUGGAGCAUGUGGUUUAAUUCGAAGCAACGCGAAGAACCUUACCAAAUCUUGACAUCCUUUGACAACUCUAGAGAUAGAGCCUUCCCCUUCGGGGGACAAAGUGACAGGUGGUGCAUGGUUGUCGUCAGCUCGUGUCGUGAGAUGUUGGGUUAAGUCCCGCAACGAGCGCAACCCUUAAGCUUAGUUGCCAUCAUUAAGUUGGGCACUCUAAGUUGACUGCCGGUGACAAACCGGAGGAAGGUGGGGAUGACGUCAAAUCAUCAUGCCCCUUAUGAUUUGGGCUACACACGUGCUACAAUGGACAAUACAAAGGGCAGCGAAACCGCGAGGUCAAGCAAAUCCCAUAAAGUUGUUCUCAGUUCGGAUUGUAGUCUGCAACUCGACUACAUGAAGCUGGAAUCGCUAGUAAUCGUAGAUCAGCAUGCUACGGUGAAUACGUUCCCGGGUCU
rnacentral:rRNA from 1 species